CAGCAGCCGCGGUAAUACGUAGGGUGCGAGCGUUAAUCGGAUUUACUGGGCGUAAAGCGUGCGCAGGCGGCCCGUUAAGACAGGUGUGAAAUCCCUGGGCUCAACCUAGGAAUUGCGCUUGUGACUGGCGGGCUCGAGUACGGUAGAGGGGGGUGGAAUUCCUGGUGUAGCAGUGAAAUGCGUAGAGAUCAGGAGGAACACCGAUGGCGAAGGCAGCCCCCUGGGCCUGUACUGACGCUCAUGCACGUAAGCGUGGGGAGCAAACAGGAUUAGAUACCCUGGUAGUCCACGCCCUAAACGAUGGGUACUAGCCGUUUGGUGCGCGAUAGCGCUGAGUGGCGAAGCUAACGCGUGAAGUCCCCCGCCUGGGGAGUACGGCCGCAAGGUUGAAACUUAAAGGAAUUGGCGGG
rnacentral:rRNA from 1 species